rnacentral:rRNA from 1 species
GCUGGCGGUAUGCCUAACACAUGCAAGUCGUACGAGAGUUUUUAACUCUAGUGGCGGACGGGUGAGUAACACGUGAGAAUUUGCCUUUAGGAGGGGGAUAACAAUUGGAAACGAAUGCUAAUACCCCAUAUGCUUUCGAGUGAAAUGGAUUUAUAUUUAUCCGCCUAGAGAGAAGCUCGCGGCUGAUUAGCUUGUUGGUAAGGUAAGAGCUUACCAAGGCGACGAUCAGUAUCUGGUUUGAGAGGACGAUCAGACACACUGGAACUGAGACACGGUCCAGACUCCUACGGGAGGCAGCAGUGGGGAAUUUUCCGCAAUGGGCGAAAGCCUGACGGAGCAAUACCGCGUGAGGGAAGACUGCCUAUGGGUUGUAAACCUCUUUUUUCAGGGAGGAAUCAAUGACGUGUACCUGAAGAAUAAGCAUCGGCUAACUCCGUGCCAGCAGCCGCGGUAAGACGGAGGAUGCAAGUGUUAUCCGGAAUCACUGGGCGUAAAGCGUCUGUAGGUGGUUUAAUAAGUCAACUGUUAAAUCUUGAGGCUCAACUUCAAAAUCGCAGUCGAAACUAUUAGACUAGAGUAUAGUAGAG